CAUUGUGUAGUUACAGGCAGAUAGUGGAUGCCUUGGGAUGCGAAGGCGACGAAGGACGUGGCGUGACUGCGAUAAGCCUCGGGGAGCAGUUUAGCAUGCUUUGAUCCGGGGAUUUCCGAAUGGGGAAACCUGGUUC
rnacentral:rRNA from 1 species